CAGUCGCCGCGGUAAAACGUAGGGUGCGAGCGUUAAUCGGAUUUACUGGGCGUAAAGCGUGCGCAGGCGGUUUUGUAAGACAGGCGUGAAAUCCCCGGGCUCAACCUGGGAAUGGCGCUUGUGACUGCAAAGCUAGAGUGCGGCAGAGGGGGAUGGAAUUCCGCGUGUAGCAGUGAAAUGCGUAGAUAUGCGGAGGAACACCGAUGGCGAAGGCAAUCCCCUGGGCCUGCACUGACGCUCAUGCACGAAAGCGUGGGGAGCAAACAGGAUUAGAUACCCGGGUAGUCCCUGUCUCUUAUAC
rnacentral:rRNA from 1 species